GCCGACUUAGCUCAGGGGUAGAGCGUUUCCUUGGUAAGGAAGAGGUCGUGAGUUCAAAUCUCAUAGUUGGCUCUA
rnacentral:tRNA from 5 species